UACGUAGGGGGCAAGCGUUGUCCGGAAUCAUUGGGCGUAAAGAGCGUGUAGGUGGUUCAGUAAGUCUGCUGUGAAAGUCCAGGGCUCAACCCUGGGAUGCCGGUGGAUACUGCUGGGCUAGAGUACGGAAGAGGCGAGUGGAAUUCCCGGUGUAGCGGUGAAAUGCGCAGAUAUCGGGAGGAACACCUAUUGCGAAGGCAGCUCGCUGGGACGUUACUGACACUGAGACGCGAAAGCGUGGGGAGCAAACAGG
rnacentral:rRNA from 1 species